GUCCUUGCCAUAGUGCCCCUCUGCCACUUCCUUGCCCUACGGAAUGCGCCUUUGCAUUUCUCGUGAUGAAUCCUGAUGAAGUCUGGGCCGCUGUGUGUUUGACAAUGGGCUCACGGGACAGAAGCUGCUGGACUGCACCUUGCAGAUGGCGCGUCUCUACAGGCACCGCCAGAUUCCUGGGUGGCUCCUGGGGACCUCCAAGCCUUGCGCAGACCCAAGGCCACCUUGCCACCGUGGCCACAGCCCAAUGCUGGCUGCUGGGCAGCAAACCUGCAGAAAUGCAUAAACGCACCAGGGACAUCCGCCCUGAGCCCAGGGCUCUUCCUAGGCCCAACGUUCUGUCCAGGUAACUCCACAUUUUGGCCACUGCUCCCACGCUUGGCAAGACUGCAACCCCCACAGCCUCCCACUCUAGGGCAGCCAGAGGGCAGUGUCGCAAGCCCGGGACCCUCGGGCAGAACGGAAUGUGGCUUUUCCAUUGGGGGCGCUGGCCCAUGUGGCACUCACAGGUAUGACAGAUGGCCUUGCCAGUGUGGGACUCCAGGGACUGUGGGAGAAGAGCACACUGGCAGGGCUGCCCAGGGCUGCCCAGGGGUGCCGGGAUGUGAACCAGCUGCGCGGCACAGUGGGUCACCUAGGGUGGCCCUGCCUGGUCUGAGAAUGGGCAGUCCGUCACAGCACCAUGUCACUCCAGUCCUGGCCCAAGUGCCUGGGAAGCAGCACUGUGUGCCCGAACACACUCAGACCUGUCCAGGCCCCCGGGAGAAGCGGCAGGCAAUGACGUGGUCCCCACAAAGCCUAGCGCAUGCUUAUGGGGGUCCAUCAUCUCCUCCUCGCCCCGCCAGGCUCCCGAAGCUGCCAAGUGAGCAGCGGGAGGUGGGGGUUUGCGCACAGAAUGAGGCUAAGGACGGACGGGCUUUACCACCAGCAGCCACCAUCACCUGCUCUGCGGGGCCUGGGCCAGCCCUGGGAGGGGGCGGACGGAAGGAGGGGCAGCAGUGCGCGGGGCUCAUUUACCGUCUUCCAGACACCAGCUCAGGGACAGCGGGUGUGUAUCACCGAGGACCAGGGUCGCACCCCAAGGCUGCACUGUGUCUGCACGUGGCCUGGGGGCCUGUGAGGCCAGGCUGCAGGGCAGGGGCCCGCGGCCGUGCCAGCUUCUCUCCUGGGUCGUGACGGUUUUACCUCCUCACUUGGCAGAGCAUCUGCUGCUAGGGCCUGACGGCUCUGGCUGGUGCAGUCAGGACUUAGCUUCCCAGCCAUGGCUGGAAUCCCAGCCUCCCAAAGGCGCAGCUCCUAACCUCUCUCCCCUGCCAAGCUCACAGGCUUCUCCUUGGCAGGCAGCCCUUUCUCCUGCUGGACCCAACCGAGGGCACAGUGACCCAGGGACAGCGCACUGGGUGUCACCCUCCAAGGCCUCGGAGCCACACAGACCCAGCACAGGAUUAGAAACAGACCUCCCGGGAGGCAGAGGGCCAGGCCUCCCGGUUUACGGCGUGACGAGGCUGCGCUCAGGAGAGCGCCUCAGUCCUCCUCCACGUCAGCUCCAUGACUGUCACCACCGAUGAGGACCUCUGACCAUCCUUCUGACCAUCCAGGAGCUGGGCCCGCCCCAGGGCAUCAGUUUCCAGGGAAGCCUCUGCCUGUCUGGGAGCCUCCCCACCCGCCAGGCCGCGGCCAUCACAGAUGCCCUGCGCAGCCCCCGCCCCUCCUAGAGCAAAGGCUCCGUGAAGACUUUUUUCUCUGGCUCAUCCCUUUAAGGAGCCGUAAAGGGUCCGGAAUGUGCUCCCUCCGUGGUGGGAGCUUGUUGGCCUCGGCUGUGCCGGGCAGGGGCUCCCGGGGCCUGGCCGGGUGGGCAGCGGUGCUGAAUGAGCUCCGUCCAGGAAGAUUCGAUGAACAGUCGUCACUUAAAAGGGUAAACAGAAAUUCCAUUUCCCUUUUACAUACUUGAAUAUUUCCAAACACCUGGAGGAUGCGGUGCUUUUCCCUCCAAGCAGCUCCGUGGAGUUUUGUGGGUUACCGUGGAGGAUCCAGCACUCCUCUCAGGGAAAACUGGCCUGAGCAUUGCAUAACGCAGGCAGGCUGCCCUGCUCACGUCGCCAGCGGGUUACGUGCGUGUGUUUCCAGGAGACUUGCUGGAACAUCUUCCCCAGAUCUUGUCAAAGUUGGAUGUGGAAAGCAGCUUGGUCCAUCCAAGGUCCACAGAGUGACCUGCCAGGGAGCCUGUCGGCCAGGAGGGAGGCGACACGACACUUGGCCCCAGGAGCUGGAAACACGGGUGAACUUAGAUGCGCCAAGCCUUCUGCCUGAGUCACAGUUAGUCAUUAUCCCUGGUCUUACCGGAGCAGGAACGACUGCCAUGUGGCGGGCGGGCAAGAUUCACUUUCGGAAGGAUCCCCGUGUAGACAGGCGCUCUGCCAGAGCAGUCGUGGGGAGUAUGGGUGUGUGGAGCCAGGCACCGGGCUGACCCUGCCUUCCAAGCAUCCACGCGGCCUUCAGCAGGACAGGAGAAAGCCUAGGACUUGUACUGUGAAGUCCCAGACCUAAGAAAUCCAAACCUGAGAUGGAAAAGAGGGUGGAGAGAAUGGGUCGCCGGACUGGCCGUCCAGAGCAGCCUCAGCUCAGCAGGCGGAGCUGUGCGGGCUGCCCCACAGGCCUGGUGGGUGCUCCCGGUGCAGGGCGGGGAGCAGCGUCCCCAGCGAGCAGCCUGCCCCACACAUGAAGGUACCCACACACUUAGCCCCUUGCUAAGAGUUUCACUGGCCAGAGCUCCGUCCGAGUCCAGGGCUCCACUCAAGGGACUGCGGUCACUGUUGUGAAGAAGGCCCGUCAGGGCGAAUGUUCUCCUCCCCAGGGGAGCAGAGUCACCUUUUGUCAGACAGAACUUGGUGAGCCUGACACAGCUGGUAGUGGCCCCAGCUCCAACACCUGACCUCAGAGCUGAAGGGCACAGAGAAGGCACAGCUAGAGACAGCAGGUGCCCCUCGAAGCUCUCAGGAGAGGGUACCAGGCGGGAUCUCCCAGCACCCUUGGCCUCUAGGCUGAUCUGGCCUCAAAAGCCCCGAGAGGGCUGGAUCCAAGGAGACAAAGCCGGAGAGGUCGGGUGGCUAAGGGGACAGGCUGGACAGCGGUGGGGGAGGCAGGUGGCUUUGCUAUAAACAAUCGUCUGAGUAACGUGGCACUGCCCUUGUGUGGGCAGGUUCAUGCACCGGCAUAACCUCUUCUAAAACACACUUUUAUGGAGGUGAAGUUUGCUUAACAGCCAUUUUAAAGCAUACACUUCGCGGGCAGCGCUGGAUUCACGAUGCACACCUUCUGCUUCUCUGGUUUCAGGACGUUUUUGUCCCUCCAGAACAAUGCCUCGUACCCGUUAAGUAAUCACACCUCAUUCCUUCCCCAGCUCUGGAAACCACAGAUCCGCUUUCUGUCUCCGUGGGUGUGUCUGUUUGGGAUAUUUCAUAUAAAAGGAAUCACGCAGCACGUGAACAUGUGUGUCCCGCUUCUUUCCGUGAAAGUCGCAUUUCCAAGGCUCCGAGUGGUGGUAUGUCUCAGCAUCUCACUUCUGUUCACAGGUGUGUAAUAUCCCGUCCCAGGGACCUGGCACCGUUUGUGAAUCCCUGCACCUGCUGGCGGACACCCAGUCAUCUCCACUUUCCCGCUGUUUGAAGGACGGAGCUGCGAACAUCCGUAUGCAUGUUUCUGAGGGGUGGGUUUUGUUUCUUUUGGGUACAUGCUUAAGAGGCGAAUGCUGAAUCCCCUGCCAAGUCUGCUCAUAACCUUUGUCAGGAACCAGCAAACGUUUUCCACGGCAGACACAUCAUUUUACAUUCCCACUAGCAAUGUCUGAGGCUUCCCGUUUCUCCAUAUUCUCGCCUUUUUCUACUUAAAGCUCCAGGCAGAGGGAACAGAGCAGGUAAAGACCAGAGGCCCAGCAGGCAGCGCUUGGCUGGAGCUCACCAGGGGCUGGACGGCGUUGGACCAGAGGGCACGAGAAAGACAGGAGUGGAGGCCGAUGCCCACCGGUGGACCGCAACAAGGGCUGGGUGGCUGGGCCAUGUUGCUCAUGCAGAGGGAGCAGAGACGUUUGGAAAUGCUUUGCAGAGGUGAGAAUAUGGCUUGCUCGGAGAGCGCUUGUGUAUCUGCAGUUCCCUGAGAAGGCCUGUAGGAGUGACACCAGUGACAAGGCCAUUGCAGGAGGCAACGGGAGCUGUCGGUUGGAGUGGGAUCGCCGUGAGAAAGGGCUGGAGAGAAGAGGCCUCUUGUGGCAACAGCAAGCAGUUUCCAGAGAUGAGUGUGCAGCUUGAGUGGGCGGAGGAGGCAGAGGGCAUGACUGCUGCCUCAUCUUAACGCCUUGGGCCUGAUAAUUUGAAAGGACUCACAGUCCCCAGGUGUGUUGCCACUGCAGCUGUUCCAGUCCAUGACACAGCCUUGUAAUGUCAGCGUGGAUGUGUAAGUGUGCAGGGAACAAUCAGUGCCAGUGUAGAGACCCUGGAUGUGGCCAUCCACUCUCAAUGGCCCUAAGUCCUUCCAGACCCUCCAUGUUCAUUUCCCAGGGAACCUCUGGUUUGGAACCGUAACUGCAAAGAGUUUCUACACCCAAGACAUGGGCGAAAAAUUCAGAAGCCACUGGGACCGCCUUGGAAGAAGGAACUCGGCCAGGGCCUUUGUCAGUCAUCCCGAGUCACUAGCACUGAGGCGUCCUGUGCCAGGAGAGGGGGUCUUGGCCCAGAGCUCACCCUCCCCGCUGAGGCACGCUUGGCCCUCGGAGCUAAGAUGCUCUGCACUGCACUUUUAAGGAGCAGGGAUCCUGCCAGGGAGGACUCUUGAACAGAACCUCAAUAAGCAGUGAUUUACGGUCAGCCCCUGCAUGCAGCAGAUGCUGUGGGCCUGCUGAGCUCAGGAGCAGUGCACCUGCACGCCUGCCUCCCGGCCUGACCCAGCUCCAGCCUCUGUGCUCCAUGCUGACUCCUGUCCCACCAGCACCAGCCGCCAACAGUGGGGGAGACAUUCUUUCCACCGUAAGGAUUUGUUUCCUGUAAACACAAUUAGCACAUAAAACUGUGCAUCACGUGGUGAAAGGAAUUAGGAAAAUAUGCUGUGUUUACUUUGUGGUUCCAAGAGCUGAUAUCUUUACACCUUUGAUCUGCCAAGAGCCCAGAUCAUGGGCAGGAAAGGAGGGAUAAACCUGGCCCAAGCAGCCAAUGGAUAAACAGCCGCCCGGCCGUCUCCUCACAGUGCAACUCAACUGCUGCUCCCGAGCUGUGCUUCCGAGUGUGGGGCUGUGUGGCCUCUGCCCCCAAGUGGAGGCUCCUGCAGAGCACAGCUGGGCCAGGAGCUGGGUGGCUCCACUGAUGCUUCACUUCUGUACCUCAGUUUCCAUCCAAAGAAGAGGAGACAGCACAGGGCUCUUGAGCAGAACAAGACAGUUCCCGUGAGAUACUGGGGGCAGUGUCAAAUGAUGCCAGUGACUGAAAAGGAAGCAGCCUGUGUUACCAGGACCACAUGACCUCCCCACUGCUUUCCAGAAGGUUCCUGAAUAACCCACCCCUUAUUUACAUGUAAUUAGGUGGAGGUAUAAGCAGAGCCAGCCAGCAAUCCAAGGGGGUCCCUCUGCCUGUGGACGUCCCUGCUCUGUCUCUGCAGCAGCCACUGGCUGUGCCCUGUUGCCCCAAUUACCUCUUCCUCCACCAUCGGCUCAGGCAAGACUCUGUCCUGAUCAACGCUUCCUCCACCGUCAGGUCACAUGUGACUCUCCCCUGAUCAACGCCUCCUCCACCAUCGGCUCACGUGUGAAUCUCUCCUGAUCAACCCCUCCUCCA